AUAGUAUAGUUAUAGUAUAGUAUAUAUAGGAUUCAAACCAACUUUAUUUAAACAGCUUCAAUACAACACAACCAUCAACUGAUGUUUAUUAUUUUGAUCCUGUAGGAAUGAUGUCACAAAGUUUCCAGUGAUCUGAUUGGUCAGCAGUCGGGCUGUUGAUCUGCUGUUGAAGUCCGGUUACCAUGGAUACCAGAGAUUAACCGACAAACAACAAACAAACAACACAAACAGGAAACAAAUCAAUCAGCUUUAAUUUUCCUCUGAACACACACAGGGUCAUCUGUGAUGUCAUCAUGUUGCGGGUGACGUCAUCACCGCUGUGGGUGAUGUCACCACAAAGCGGGUGAUGUCAUCACUGUUGUAGGUGACAUCAUCACCGUUGCAGGUGACAUCAUCACCGUUGCGGGUGACAUCAUCACCGUUGAAGGUGACGUCAUCACCGCUGUGGGUGACAUCAUCACCGUUGCGGGUGACAUCAUCACCGUUGAAGGUGACAUCAUCACCGUUGCGGGUGACGUCACCACAAAGCGGCUGAUGUCAUCACAGUUGUAGGUGACAUCAUCCCCGCUGUGGGUGAUGUCAUCUGUUGUUGUUGUUCUGGAUGAAGUUGAUGGAGUAGGAGCCGGUGUCGGUGUCCUGGUUCACCUGGAA